GAAAGAUGAAAAGAAUUUUGAAAAGAAAGUCAAACAGUACGUGAAAUUGUUGAAAGGGAAACGAUUGAAGCCAGUCGUACCGACGGGAAUUCAACUUCUCGAGUGCUAAUCGUGGGUGACGUUGAGCCUCACGGCCUUCGUUGCUUGUGUUGUUGGUGCUUUUGGGGUGUACUUUUCCGUAUGGUAGGUCAGCAUCGAUUUCGAUCGUCAUAAAAUGAUCGGGGGAAUGUAGCUUCGGUCUCGUAUCGGAGUGUUAUA
rnacentral:rRNA from 1 species